rnacentral:lncRNA from 1 species
AAAAGGCAAAUCAUGGGGAUGCCCCUGUUCAAUAUGGCCUAUGGUGGCUCCUUGGAAGGCCUCCAGGCAGGGCAACGACAAGACCAGUCACACAAGGACGCAAGCCAUUCGUGGAGGACACCAUCAUGUCAAGUAGGUCUUUGACGCCUGGGACGUGGAUCAUAAAAUGCCAAAAAAUUGUGCCUUAAACCUUUUCUCUGUUCUUUUUUUGAAGAAUGGCUUAUCAUUCCCCCAAU